UGUGACAAUAAGAAACACAUAAUAUUUGAAAUUGAUCCUAUAACAAUAUCAUCAUCGCCUUACUAUAUGUGGUCUGAAUAAAUAUUUGUCGGGUUAAUCAAUACAAUUUACUCUCUAAAUAUGUGGCUAUCAAACUUCAUAUAUUUACUUUAUAUGGAUUCUAAUCUCUGACAUAAAGACGCCUAUCUAGUACUUUUAUGUGCCAUUAUUCAUUAUAUACGAAUAAAAUCAGAGUUGCAGGCAGUGUCGUUGCCAGUUGGGAC